AAUAAAUUAAUUUUUCAGUUUUUAGAUAUAAUGCUUUGAUUCUUCGUCUUAUUUGAAUUUUUUUGAGAUUAAUAUUUUUAUUGUUACUAGAUGAUAAAAUAUGAAUAGUACUUUACGCGUGGAUAGUUUUUUUAAGUUUUUUUAUAAAUUUCCAAAAUAAGACGAAUGGUUAAAGCGUUGGACACAGAAAUCGAAAAAUAAAGCUAUU
rnacentral:pre_miRNA from 1 species